AAGGAGGAGCUGUCGCGCCACCACCGUCGUCUCACUUGCGGCAUCACCACCGUCCGUCGCGCCGCCACCACACUGCGUUGCCGCCGAAAACAGAGACGCGAAGGAGAGGAGGCCGCGGGUCACUGUCCUUGAAGCUUCUGUCGUCACCGUGCAGAGCCGCCGCCACCGUCAUCAUCGCGGGCUGCUGCUACUGCGCGGGUGAUUGUCGCCGCCUUUGGGUCCAUCACCAUCGAGCAGAGCCACCGGGGAGAACCAUAGUUGUCGCUGAAGCUCCAGUCGCCGUCAGAAGCUGCUGCCGACGCCGAUCUGCAUGCGCCGUCACCGUUGAGAUCCUCCGCUGUCAUUGACGACCCAGCCGCCACCAAUCUGGUCCGAGAGAGAGGAGAUGUGAAUAGAAGAGAAGGCGGAGAGCCACCGCCGCUGCUGCUGAGUCACCGAAGCUGCUGGACUGAGCUUCUGCCGCCUGAAACCCGCUGCCGUCGCCGGAAAAAGCACUGCCAUUGUCGUCGUCGGAAUUCGUUGCCACCACCACCAUUAGAGGCGAACCCAGUUAUUUUCUCGCAGCCGAAGGUAUUACCGUCACUGCUCUGGUUCAAUUUUGUAUUGCUAUCGCUGCUGUUGACUUGCCCCAAUUCAAGUUUAGUGUCACUGCCUUUGUUUUAGCCUUUCUCUUGACUCUGUUUCACUUUUAUACUCUGAACUGCCUUGGUCUCGUUUAUCUUUUUGUUAUGGUUUUAAUUCCAUUCUAGUUUCGGUGUCGCUUUGAAUUUUUAGAGUUGUUUAUGCGUUUGAUUCCAUCAAAUUCUAAUCUAUUGUUGUUGCUGUGAGCGAAAUCGGAGUUGGUGAUGCUGCCAUCAUCCCUGUUGUGUUGGAAUCGCCACUGCUGCUGUGAGUUUAAACUAAGCGGGACUGUUGUGUUAAACUAUGCGAUUGCGACAUCGAGCUUUACCUUUUCAGGAACCGGAUGAAGAAGCAUUAAGAAGAAUUAUAUUGCGUUUAGUUUAUAUGUUGUUCUGUUAAUUAGAUUAUUUUCUUCCCUCGUCUUUUUUUAUAAGAGGGAUAGGAGUUGUAUGUUUUAUAUGUAUAUUAUGUUAUGAGAUAUUAUGUAAGGAGUC